rnacentral:rRNA from 1 species
GGGUUGUGAGGUUAAGCGACUAAGCGUACACGGUGGAUGCCCUGGCAGUCAGAGGCGAUGAAGGGCGUGCUAAUCUGCGAUAAGCGCCGGUAAGGUGAUAUGAACCGUUAUAACCGGCGAUACCCGAAUGGGGAAACCCAGUGUGACUCGUCACACUAUCAUUAACUGAAUCCAUAGGUUAAUGAGGCGAACCGGGGGAACUGAAACAUCUAAGUACCCCGAGGAAAAGAAAUCAACCGAGAUUCCCCCAGUAGCGGCGAGCGAACGGGGAGGAGCCCAGAGCCUGAAUCAGCAUGUGUGUUAGUGGAAGCGUCUGGAAAGGCGCGCGAUACAGGGUGACAGCCCCGUACACAAAAGCGCAUGUGCUGUGAGCUCGAUGAGUAGGGCGGGACACGUGGUAUCCUGUCUGAAUAUGGGGGGACCAUCCUCCAAGGCUAAAUACUCCUGACUGACCGAUAGUGAACCAGUACCGUGAGGGAAAGGCGAAAAGAACCCCGGCGAGGGGAGUGAAAAAGAACCUGAAACCGUGUACGUACAAGCAGUGGGAGCACAGGUUUACCUGUGUGACUGCGUACCUUUUGUAUAAUGGGUCAGCGACUUAUAUUCUGUAGCAAGGUUAACCGAAUAGGGGAGCCGGAGGGAAACCGAGUCUUAAUUGGGCGUUAAGUUGCAGGGUAUAGACCCGAAACCCGGUGAUCUAGCCAUGGGCAGGUUGAAGGUUGGGUAACACUAACUGGAGGACCGAACCGACUAAUGUUGAAAAAUUAGCGGAUGACCUGUGGCUGGGGGUGAAAGGCCAAUCAAACCGGGAGAUAGCUGGUUCUCCCCGAAAGCUAUUUAGGUAGCGCCUCGUGAAUUCAUCUCCGGGGGUAGAGCACUGUUUCGGCUAGGGGGCCAUCCCGGCUUACCAACCCGAUGCAAACUGCGAAUACCGGAGAAUGUUAUCACGGGAGACACACGGCGGGUGCUAACGUCCGUCGUGAAGAGGGAAACAACCCAGACCGCCAGCUAAGGUCCCAAAGUCAUGGUUAAGUGGGAAACGAUGUGGGAAGGCCCAGACAGCCAGGAUGUUGGCUUAGAAGCAGCCAUCAUUUAAAGAAAGCGUAAUAGCUCACUGGUCGAGUCGGCCUGCGCGGAAGAUGUAACGGGGCUAAACCAUGCACCGAAGCUGCGGCAGCGACGCUUAUGCGUUGUUGGGUAGGGGAGCGUUCUGUAAGCCUGUGAAGGUGUGUCGUGAGGCAUGCUGGAGGUAUCAGAAGUGCGAAUGCUGACAUAAGUAACGAUAAAGCGGGUGAAAAGCCCGCUCGCCGGAAGACCAAGGGUUCCUGUCCAACGUUAAUCGGGGCAGGGUGAGUCGACCCCUAAGGCGAGGCCGAAAGGCGUAGUCGAUGGGAAACGGGUUAAUAUUCCCGUACUUGGUGUUACUGCGAAGGGGGGACGGAGAAGGCUAUGUUGGCCGGGCGACGGUUGUCCCGGUUUAAGCGUGUAGGUGUGUGUUCCAGGUAAAUCCGGUUCACUUUAACACUGAGGCGUGAUGACGAGGCACUACGGUGCUGAAGCAACAAAUGCCCUGCUUCCAGGAAAAGCCUCUAAGCAUCAGGUAACAUCAAAUCGUACCCCAAACCGACACAGGUGGUCAGGUAGAGAAUACCAAGGCGCUUGAGAGAACUCGGGUGAAGGAACUAGGCAAAAUGGUGCCGUAACUUCGGGAGAAGGCACGCUGACAUGUAGGUGAAGUGAUUUACUCAUGGAGCUGAAGUCAGUCGAAGAUACCAGCUGGCUGCAACUGUUUAUUAAAAACACAGCACUGUGCAAACACGAAAGUGGACGUAUACGGUGUGACGCCUGCCCGGUGCCGGAAGGUUAAUUGAUGGGGUCAGCGCAAGCGAAGCUCCUGAUCGAAGCCCCGGUAAACGGCGGCCGUAACUAUAACGGUCCUAAGGUAGCGAAAUUCCUUGUCGGGUAAGUUCCGACCUGCACGAAUGGCGUAAUGAUGGCCAGGCUGUCUCCACCCGAGACUCAGUGAAAUUGAACUCGCUGUGAAGAUGCAGUGUACCCGCGGCAAGACGGAAAGACCCCGUGAACCUUUACUAUAGCUUGACACUGAACAUUGAGCCUUGAUGUGUAGGAUAGGUGGGAGGCUUUGAAGUGUGGACGCCAGUCUGCAUGGAGCCGACCUUGAAAUACCACCCUUUAAUGUUUGAUGUUCUAACGUGGACCCGUUAUCCGGGUUGCGGACAGUGUCUGGUGGGUAGUUUGACUGGGGCGGUCUCCUCCUAAAGAGUAACGGAGGAGCACGAAGGUUGGCUAAUCCUGGUCGGACAUCAGGAGGUUAGUGCAAUGGCAUAAGCCAGCUUGACUGCGAGCGUGACGGCGCGAGCAGGUGCGAAAGCAGGUCAUAGUGAUCCGGUGGUUCUGAAUGGAAGGGCCAUCGCUCAACGGAUAAAAGGUACUCCGGGGAUAACAGGCUGAUACCGCCCAAGAGUUCAUAUCGACGGCGGUGUUUGGCACCUCGAUGUCGGCUCAUCACAUCCUGGGGCUGAAGUAGGUCCCAAGGGUAUGGCUGUUCGCCAUUUAAAGUGGUACGCGAGCUGGGUUUAGAACGUCGUGAGACAGUUCGGUCCCUAUCUGCCGUGGGCGCUGGAGAACUGAGGGGGGCUGCUCCUAGUACGAGAGGACCGGAGUGGACGCAUCACUGGUGUUCGGGUUGUCAUGCCAAUGGCACUGCCCGGUAGCUAAAUGCGGAAGAGAUAAGUGCUGAAAGCAUCUAAGCACGAAACUUGCCCGAGAUGAGUUCUCCCUGAGACUUAGAGUCUCCUGAAGGAACGUUGAAGACGACGACGUUGAUAGGCCGGGUGUGUAAGCGCAGCGAUGCGUUGAGCUAACCGGUACUAAUGAACCGUGAGGCUUAACCUUACAACGCCGAAG